rnacentral:rRNA from 1 species
UACGUAGGGUGCAAGCGUUAAUCGGAAUUACUGGGCGUAAAGCGUGCGCAGGCGGUUUUGUAAGGCUGUCGUGAAAUCCCCGGGCUCAACCUGGGAAUUGCGUUGGAGACUGCAAGGCUGGAGUCUGGCAGAGGGGGGUAGAAUUCCACGUGUAGCAGUGAAAUGCGUAGAGAUGUGGAGGAACACCGAUGGCGAAGGCAGCCCCCUGGGUCAAGACUGACGCUCAUGCACGAAAGCGUGGGGAGCAAACAGG